rnacentral:rRNA from 1 species
UGGGGAAUCUUGCGCAAUGGUCGAAAGACUGACGCAGCCAUGCCGCGUGAAUGAUGAAGGUCUUAGGAUUGUAAAAUUCUUUCAGCAGGGACGAUAAUGACGGUACCUGCAGAAGAAGCCCCGGCUAACUUCGUGCCAGCAGCCGCGGUAAUACGAAGGGGGCUAGCGUUGCUCGGAAUUACUGGGCGUAAAGGGAGCGUAGGCGGGUUAUCAAGUUGGAGGUGAAAGCCCAGGGCUCAACCUUGGAAUUGCCUUCAAAACUGAUAGCCUAGAGUAUGAUAGAGGUAAGUGGAACUCCGAGUGUAGAGGUGAAAUUCGUAGAUAUUCGGAAGAACACCAGUGGCGAAGGCGACUUACUGGAUCAUGACUGACGCUGAGGCUCGAAAGCGUGGGGAGCAAACA